GGCUCUGGAGUGACGGCUCGGGGUGAAGAACACUGCUGUUCUCACGGAGCACCCAUGCCAGGAGGCUCACGAGCAACGUAAUUUCAGCGUCAGGAAAUCACAUACCCUCUUUUGGCCUCUGCAAGCAGAGGAUACAGCCUCAAAACAGACACACUGUCUACAGAGAAUGAUCCUCCAGCAACCUGGAAACACCAGACACAACAGCAACACCAGUAAGUUCCCUCUCUUCAUUAAGCCUAAAGUCUGCCGGGGGAGCCUGGCCCUGAACAAGGAGCUGUAAGAGUGAGCCUAACAGUGGCAUAACCAUGAAAGCAGGAGCUAAGAAAAGGAACAAACCCAGGACACUGGCCAGCAUCCCGGACAGGAGGCAACCCUCCCGCCCAGAAGACGGGAGCCAUCCUCGCCUCCAACAGACACACAGUUCUCUCCAGGAUGUGCAACAGCAAAGGCCUUCAGACUCAAGCUAGCCUCUCCACAUGAGCUCUCAGGCUCUCCUUGGUCUGUUCUCCAGCCUGCUGUGAUGGAUCCUUCCACUUCUCAGUCUGUAUAAACAUGUCAGCCAUGACCUUCUGAGGCUCCUAGAGCUAUAUGAACAUGCAGUUUUGUCUCUCUGGGGAACCUGACUACUGAAUGGCUCAGGAACUCUAACUCCACACCCCACUCGGAAAACGGUCAAUGGAGCAUCUAUUUCCCUGUAGGAUCAGAACCACUGAGAGGUGGGAAGUUCCCACCCAUCCUCUCUUCAGCAUUAGCCACAGCUGCAACUUGAGGAAUCACA